rfam:Setaria italica strain Yugu1 unplaced genomic scaffold scaffold_12, whole genome shotgun sequence.
GUUCUGGUAGCUCAGCUGGUUAGAGCAAAGGACUGAAAAUCCUUUUUAGCUUGUUUCAGUGGGAAGAGCAAGGGGCAUUGCCCUUGAAAUCCUUCAGUGGUUCGAAUCCACAUCUGAGCG